GUCGUCAGUAGGUCUGAAUUUGAAUCCACACCCUACCACUCUGUAACUACAGUCACGGAAUCAAGUUCCAAAUCAUCUCUGAGUUCCAAUUUCAUCAUUUAUAAAGUAGGAAUAAUGAGAAUACCCUUCAAAUAGACUGGUUAGUGAGAGUCAAAUGGAGUAACAUCUUUACGGGUACUAGUUUUGUGCCUCGCAUAAUUGGAGCUCAACAAGUGGUUUGCUUUUAACUAUCUUUCAGUCUCUAGCACAAAGGAAGACCCAAAGGAGGCUGAAGGAUGAGGACUUGGAAAACCAGCACAGCCAAGGUCUCCUGGAGCAGAUGUACUUUCAGCAAAGUGGUUUAAACACAUAGACACAUGAUCUACAGUUUCAUCGGGUUUAUCUAGUUUCCAGUGCUGAGAGAAAGAUGAACAGUACCUAUUGACUGUGAUGACCAGUCGCCCAUUCCAGUAGCAGUUAAUUCCAAUUGAUAAGGGGUCCAAAGGUUUACUUUUUAAAGUAUUUUUUUUUUGUCUCCAAAACCUAACCGAUUUGUGCUGGAGUCUAAACAAUUCCGUAAUUUAAAAAAUUCCCUAGAAAGACGAGCUGAGACAGGGAACUCUAGUACAAGUGGAGGAAUGUCUCCAGGAGAAACUUGUCAGGGCAAUGAAGGAUGCAGAUUAAUCAGGAAAAUAACUAAGGCAGGAUGUAACCUCAAAGGGGAGCCAGCCUCAGACUCAUGGCACUGGGGAGCCAUGGAGGAUGAAUUGCACCUUAGAAGUUGUUCUGCUCAGAGGGAAGCAGGCUGGGCUGUUACUCUUCUACCUGUCCUUGUCACCAGUAUCACCCAGCUGACUCUCAAAGUGACUCCAGUCAGCCAAAUGCAGUCCUCCCAAGGGAAAAAAAAACAGCUGAGAGCCACCAACCACAGCAGCUGAGCAGAACGGACCAGCUGGCAAAGGGGCUUUGGGUUAGGUACCAAUAGCAUCUGCUACAAGUGAUGUGCUUUUGGGUGCAAAGUUUGGGUGC
rnacentral:lncRNA from 1 species